AAAGAGGGUUAAUUUGAGUGCUAGUUAAUAUCAUAUCAUUCCUCACCUAUGUUCCAGCCACAAAAGGGUUUCAAAACAUGUUAGGUUGCCUAAUUACAUAUCUCUAGAAGUCCUAGAACCUGCCCUAGAUAUUGCCGCACCACCCUAGGCUUUUUCCUUUCCUUGCCGCACAAGGGAUCCUCUCAUUUCCUGUUUUCUGAUUUUAAUUCACAUUCCCCUUUAGUUCUAGGCAUUGCUGCACCUUUCUCUCCUUUCUUACCUAUUUUCUGACCCAAAAUUGCAUUCCCUUUUGUUUCAAUUCUUGCUGCACAAGGGGAGAGGAUUCUUACCUAUUUUGUGCCUCAAAACACAUUCCUAAAUCUGUCCUACACUUU
rnacentral:lncRNA from 1 species